CCUACGGGGGGCUGCAGUGGGGAAUAUUGGACAAUGGGGGGAACCCUGAUCCAGCCAUGCCGCGUGUGUGAAGAAGGCCCUCGGGUUGUAAAGCACUUUCAGUGAGGAAGAACGCCUGGUGGUUAAUACCCAUCAGGAAAGACAUCACUCACAGAAGAAGCACCGGCUAACUCCGUGCCAGCAGCCGCGGUAAUACGGAGGGUGCGAGCGUUAAUCGGAAUUACUGGGCGUAAAGCGCGCGUAGGUGGCUUGAUAAGCCGGUUGUGAAAGCCCCGGGCUCAACCUGGGAACGGCAUCCGGUGAGGGCAAGAUGGAGGCGAGGAGAGGGAGGUGUACGUGCCGGCGGAGCGGUGCAAUGCGUAGAGACAGGGAGGAAGAGCAGUGGCGACGGCGGCAGUAAGGAUUGAUACCGACAGGGGGGUGCGGGAGUGUGUGUAGCACACAGAGUUCGAUACCCGUGUAGUC
rnacentral:rRNA from 1 species